CCACGUUGUGGAAGCUUUGUUCUUCUGUUCCUCUGCAAAAAAUCAUGCUGCUGCUUACUCUUUCAGUCUGCACCACCUUUAAGAGCUGUAAUAUUCACCACGAAGGUCCGCAGCUUCAUUCCUGAAGUCAGCCAGACCAUGAACCCACCGGAAGGAACAAACUCGGGACACACCAACCCACUCUGGAUUGGAUUUUACCUGAGCAAUAAAGAGACUUUUACUAUGACCCCUGUCAAAUUAUGCCUCCAGUUGACAAACAAGGUGGACUCCCUGUGGCUCAAAAGGUUAAAAAGUAGAACCGGAAGCCACGCGCAGCGGCUUGCGCCUGUAAUCCCAGCAUUUUGGGAGGCUGAGGCGGGCGGAUCACGAAGUCAAGCGAUCGAGACCAUCCUGGCUAACAAAGUGAAACUCUGUCUCUACUAAAAAUACAAAAAAUUUGCCGGGCGUGGUAAAUAGAAAAAAUCAGCCGGGCGUGGUGGCGGGUGCCUGUAAUUCCAGCUACUCAGGAGGCUGAGGCAGGAGAAUGGCGUGAACCUGGGAGUCGGAGCUUGCAGUCACUCUGCAACCAAGUUGAAGGACAGUUCCUGAAAACAAUGUCAAAAACAACUGCAGCUGGAAAUUUCCCACUGACCACCAAGAGACCACCUGGCAUCAACUGACCAAUACUUGGAACCAGCUAAUUAAGAGCGACUGGUGCUUUGGGAGCAUCCAAUCAAGACUCUCUUCCUUAUUCCCCUGACCACGCCUCCCCUCUUCUGUGUAUCAUCUGUGUUUUCAGUGUAUCAUCUGUAACUCUCCAAUCCUUCCUUGGAGCACAUUUUUGUUAUACUCAGAAGGCUGUGGCUCCCUAACCCACAGAUUGUUUCUUUUCAGAAAAUAAAGCUUUCUUU
rnacentral:lncRNA from 1 species